rnacentral:rRNA from 1 species
GGAGUCUGCAACCCGACUCCAUGAAGCUGGAUUCGCUAGUAAUCGCGCAUCAGCCACGGCGCGGUGAAUACGUUCCCGGGCCUUGUACACACCGCCCGUCAAGCCAUGGGAGCCGGGAGUGCCUGAAGUACGUGACCGCAAGGAGCGUCCUAGGGUAAGACCGGUGACUGGGGCUAAGUCGUAACAAGGUACC